UACGGGGGGGGGCAAGCGUUUGUUCGGAAUUACUGGGCGUAAAGGGCUCGUAGGCGGCCAACUAAGUCAGACGUGAAAUCCCCUCGGCUUAACCGGGGAACUGCGUCUGAUACUGGGUGGCUUGAAUCCGGGAGAGGGAUGCGGAAUUCCUGGUGUGAGCGGUGAAAUGACGCAGAUAUCAGGAGGAACACCGGUGGCGAAGGCGGGUCUCUGGGCCGAUACUGACGCUGGAGGAGCGAAAGCCGUGGGGAGCGAACAGG
rnacentral:rRNA from 1 species